UGCAGCCAGGCACUGUCCGUCCCGGGACCUACGCAGCUGCCAUGGAAGCUCCGGGUUUCGCAGGAGACUGGAAUAAGAUCGGAAUAAUUCCAACAGAUGCUCCAACCAUCCCUCAUGGACCACACGCACUCUUGGAUGCUGAAGAGCAGGCUGGGGUCUGGGGCAGCCUUUAGGGGCUCUUGGGACCCCAAAGGUGUCCAGCUUGGAUGUCUCCAGCAGAUCUUUCUGGAAAUCUGGGACACCAAGGAGGAGCACAAAUGCUGGUCUUACUACUAAGCAAUAUGUCCCUCGGAUCCAAAGGAGAGCAGGUGACCUGGGUGCAGCCACAGCCAGCUGCCACCUCCCUGGAGUCCCUCAUGAAGCAAUGCAUUCAGGGCAGAAUCCAUUGCUGCCUCAGCCCCCUUCAAAGACCAGGCCCAACACCGCACCAGCUCCUUGGACACUGCCCAUCUUCCCAGGGAGAGUCUCGUGCUCAGAGAGGCUAUAAAUAUACGCCGGACAGUCAAGAGUUUCCGUCGCCAACAGAAGAGCUGAGCAAAAGGUGAAAUAAACAUCCCGUGGCUGCAAAUUAAAAAAAAAAAAAA
rnacentral:lncRNA from 1 species